UGACCGGUGGCCCAAGUAGCAUAAUCCAUUGUCUUUUAAUUAAAGGCUUGUAUGAAUGGUUGGAUGAGAUAUCAACUAUUUUUAUUUUAACAAAAAUGAAUUUUAAUUUUUAGUAAAAAUGCUAAAAUAAAAAAAUUAGACGAGAAGACCCUAUAAAUCUUUAUUUUUAAAAGAUAAUAUUAAUUUUGUAAAUUAUAAAAUAUUUAUUUUUUAAAAAUUUAAUUGGGAGGAUAAUGAAAUUUAAUAAACUUUUAUUUUGUUUUAUAAAUAUAAUUAAAUUUAUGAAUAUAUUAUAAUGUUUAGAAAAUUAAGUUACUUUAGGGAUAACAGCGUAAUUAUUUUAAAGAGUUCUUAUCGAUAAAAUAGUUUGCGACCUCGAUGUUGAAUUAAGAAUUAAUUAGGCGCAAAAGUUA
rnacentral:rRNA from 1 species